ACAGGCUCCAGCUUUCUGCUCUGAUGUCUGCACUCAAGCUUUGGAGGCUCUUGCCAAGCAUUCACCCUCACAGGUUCUGGAACAAGCUCCAAGGCAGAGGGAUGAUGGCCUGGCUGAGCCGCACCGCGCAGGCGCUCUUCCCCAGCGCAGACGCCCUGCUCUGUCCUGACAGUCCCGCGUUGCCCUCAAUCUGAAGGUAUGGAUAAUUAAGCGCAGUGAGAUUGGAGAGCAUCCUCCGAUGCACUGUACAUUUGGGAGGAAGAGAAAGGAUAAGAGCCCUGCUGAUUCAGUGGUGGUCAUUAUCAUUGUCAAUGGAGCUGUCACUGUUAUCGUCAUUUUCGUUUGCGGUGAGAGAUCAUCUGGUUCCAUCUUGUCUUGAGAAUGGACAUCAAAGUACUAUUUUUGUUGUGAUUGUUCAAGGAUUGCUGCCAUGACUCAAAAUGGGACCAUGCCUUCAGAUCUCCAUCUGCUCCACCCAGGUAAUAAGGACACUUGGAGCCUUCAUGCUCCAUUUGUGACUGGCAAUACAGGGACCUAAAGGCUAAGGUGUUCUAUCUUCAGCAAAAAGGAACAAUCUUAGAGUCUGGUGGAAAAGGAUCAUGCCAUAUACUCUGGGGAACAGAUUUCUGAUGGCAUUGUUUAAACAACUAUGAAAUCAUACCAUUGGACUGAGUCAGGAGUUGCAGAUGUCUAGUUGAGAAGCAGAUGCAUUCAUGAAACAACACAAGAUCAGGUGGAAGAAGAGUGAAUUUUAUAGAACUGAAUGAGCAGAUGAUUAUGAUUUCUAUUUGAAAUAUUGUUAAGGUUUUAUUGCUCUAUUUUUUGGAAGUAAGAAUUUCUUUUCUUUUUCUCUUAAGUUAUCGCUCAAACAAUUUUAUAGACUAUGCUAAUUUCUUGUAAACAGAAAUGAAACUUCUUUCUUUUCUUCCCUGACUCACCCAUUCCAAAUCUGGAAACUCUCAUUGAGUCUUGUUAUCUUCAUGGCAAUAUAGUUAUUUGCAUAGAUACCAUAAGAGUCUGUCCUCCUUGUUAACAGGAUGCAAGCAAAAACAUUGGUAAUACAACCAAGGCUUUGCCUGGAUGUCAUAUUUGAGAAUGAUGCUUAUUUGAUCAGAUAUGACCAGACACUUUUAAGGAACUAAAGUUGAGCCCCAAAACUCCUUAAGAUAAUAAGCAACUUCAGCAAAGUCUCAGGAUAGAAAAUCUGUGUGAAAAAAUGACAAUCAUUCUUAUAAACCAACAAUAGAUGAGCAAAGCCAAAUCAUGAAUGAACUCCCAUUCGCAAUUGCUACAAAGAGAAUAAAAUACCUAGGAAUACAGCUAACAAGGGAUGUGAAGGACCUCCUCAAAAAGAACUACAAACCACUGCUCAAGGAAAUAGGAGAUGAUACAAUCAAGUGGAAAAACAUUCUAUCCUUAUGGAUAGGAAGAAUCAAUAUUGUAAAAAUGGCCAUACUGCCCAAAGUGAUGUAUAGAUUCAAUGCUAUUCCCAUCAAACUACCAUUGACAUUCUUCAAAGAAUUAGAAAAAACUACUUUAAAUUUCAUAUGGAACCAAAAAACAGCCUGUAUGGCUAAGACAAUAAUAAGCAAAAAGAACAAAGCUGGAGGCAUCACGCUACCUGACUUCAACCUAUACAAGGCUACAGUUACCAAAACAGCAUGGUACUGGUACCAAAACAGACAUAUAGACCAAUGGAACAGAACAGAAACCUCAGAAAUAACACCACACAUCUAAAACCAUCUGAUCUUCUACAAACCAGACAAAAACAAGCAACGGGGAAAGGAUUCCCUAUUUAAUAAAUGGUGCUAGGAAAACUGGCUAGCCAUAUGCAGAAAACAAAUUGGACCCUUCUCUUACACUUUAUACAAAAAUUUACUCAAGAUAGAUUAAAGACUUAAAUGUAAAACCCAAACCAUAAAAACCCUAGGAGAAAACCUAGGCAAUAUCAUUCAGGACAUAUGCAUGGGCAAAGACUUCAUGAUGAAAAUGCCAAAAGCAAUUGCAACAAAAGCCAAAAUUGACAAAUGGGAUCUAAUUAAACUAAAGAGCUUCUGCACAGCAAAAGAAACUAUCAUCAGAGUGAACAGGCAACCUACAGAAUGGGAGAAAAUUUUUGCAAUCUACCCAUCUGACAAAGGUGUAAUAUCCAGAAUCUACAAGUAACUUAAAGAAAUUUACAAGAAAAAAAAAGACCAUCAAAAAGUGAGUGAAGGAUAUGAACAGACACUUCUCAAAAAAGACAUUUAUGCAGCCAACAAACAUAUGAAAAAAAGCUCAAUAUCACUGAUCAUUAGAGAAAUGCAAAUCGAAAUCACAAUGAGAUACCAUUUCACACCAGUAAGAAGGGUGAUUAUUAUUAAAAAAUCAAGAAACGAUAGAUGCUGGCGAGGCUGUGGAGAAAUAGGAACACUUUUACACUGUUGGUGGGAAUGUAAAUUAGUUCAAUCAUUGUGGAAGACAGUGUGGUGAUUCCUCAAGGAUCUAGAACCAGAAAUACUAUUUGACCUAGCAAUCCCAUUACUGGGUAUAUACCCAAAGGAAUACAAAUCAUUCUACUAUAAAAACACAUGCACACAUAUGUUUAUUGCAGCACUAUUUUACCAUAGCAAAGACAUGGAACCAACCCAAAUGCCCAUCAAUGAUAGGCUGGAUAAAGAAAACGUGGUACAUAUAUACCAUGGAAUACUGUACAGCCAUAAAAAGGAAUGAGUUCAUGUCCUUUGCAGGGACAUGGAUGAAGCUAGAAGCCAUCAUCUUCAGCAAACUAACACAAGAACAGAAAACCAAUCACCACAUGUUCUCACUUGUAAGUGGGAGUUGAACAAUGAGAAUACAUGGACACAGGGAGGGGAACAACACACACCAGGGCCAGUUGGGGGUUAGGGGGUGAGGGGAAGGGAGAGCAUUAGGAGAAAUAGCUAAUGCAUGUGGGGCUUAAAACCUAGAUGACGGGUUGAUAGGUGCAGCAAACCACCAUGGCACAUGUAUACCUAUGUAACAAACAUACACGUUCUACAUUUGUAUCCCAGAACUUAAAAUAAAAAUUUAAAAAAAGUUG
ensembl:lncRNA LINC02964 long intergenic non-protein coding RNA 2964